AUGGGUUUCCGUAUAACAAGUAUAAUCAGAAGAGCAUCAUUUUCAAGAACCCAAGGAUCUACCAAGGGAUUUGAAGUCCCUAAAGGCUAUCUCGCCGUCUAUGUUGGAGAUAAAAUGAGGCGUUUUGUGAUUCCAAUUUCAUACUUGAACCAAUCAUUGUUUCAAGAAUUAUUAAACGAAGCUGAAGAAGAAUUUGGAUAUGAUCAUCCCAUGGGUGGUCUCACAAUUCCAUGCAGUGAAGAUGAAUUCCUAAACCUCACUUCACGCUUGAAUUGA
rnacentral:lncRNA from 1 species